GAAGAGGAAAAACAUGGUCAAAGAGAAGAAUAAAAGAUGGCUGCAAGAGUUAACCACUAUAUAUCUACUCAGGUCUGCAACAUUGAAAACUUUCCUGACAUUAAAUCUUGGCACCAAAUUUUUUACCACUCAGAAACCAGACACCAAAUACUGCAGUCAUUGCUAGACUAUGGAGAAAACCAACCUGACUUUUGUGUCUUGUAAUCACAAAUCAAGGUAUCUCAUUUCUUUACCACAAAGGUAAGUCCUUGGCAUCUUUCAGCUGAGUUGUAAGAAGGUCGAUGUCUGCCUGUUUCACUGGAAAGGUUGCCAGCUGUUCAAUCUUCUGCACCUUUGUGGGGAUGAAGGCAACCAGGUCACUGUAGCCUUUGAGAAAUGCAUCACCAGCUGUAAGGAAUUCUCUCAUGUCUUCUCCAGUUGGGAUAUUGAACUGAACUUCUCCAUCCAACUUGUCCUUCAGCUUUUGUGCUAUCUUGAAG
ensembl:lncRNA